rnacentral:sRNA from 1 species
UAAAUUUAUAAUUUAGUUUUCAACAAUACGCGAAGCGAAUAACAUCGUUGUCGUUGCUACGAGGAAUUAGCAGCAGCCACAGCUCGGAAAAGCAUAAAACGUGAAUUUUGUAGUGUUAAGUGCCAAAAAGGGAAAUGAAGAAAACAAGCUGUAAAAUACAGUGAUAAAUUGUUUAAACAACAAAAGUGCAGUGUAAUUCACAGCAAAUAAUGUUUUGAAUUUAUCACACACACA